rnacentral:tRNA from 1 species
GUGAAUUUAAUUUAAAAAGAAAAAAUAUUUGAUUUGCAUUCAAACAAUUUAGGUUUAAAGCCUAUAGUUCACA